UCCCAAAGUGCUAGGAUCACAGGCCUGAGCCACUGAGCCCGGCCAACAAUUUUUUUUUUAAAGAGACAUGACAUUGUUGUAAGAAGUGAUAUGGCAGCUAUGCUGAGAAUGGAUGGUAGUGGAUCAGUGGAGGCCAAGGAAGAGAUUGCUGCAAUAAUCUAGGCAAGAGAUGAUGGUGGUCAUGACUACUGAUACAUCGAAAGUGAUAGUAGUGGAAGUGGUGUGAAAUGACUCCAUUCUGAAUCAUUUUGGGGGUGUGUCUAACAAGACUUCCUAACGGAAAGGACGUAAGUGUCACAGAGAGAGAACAGUCACGGAUAAUGUCAAAGCUUUUGAUCUCGAGAAAUCAGAACGAUGGUUCAGUUCUAUAGUAUCUCUCAUCUAUUUGAAUCCCCUCUUACCUUCUUUUUAUCCUCAUUGCUUUAUGCUUUUUCAUAUUCCCUCAAGGAUGGUAUAGUGUGGGGCUUUCAGCCAGGGCAAUGAUAAACCUGUGUCUUCAACUUGACAUGUUUAUCUGGAAGUCCAGAGGAGUUUCUAUAGAUCAAUUAAUUUUACUUAAUUUUGAUUCGCAGGGAAGAAACACCUUUGGAAUUUCACUGUAAUGUGACACUUUAUUUUUACAAAGGUGAUGGAAAAUAAAUGUCCCUGAUCAAACCAAUGUGGCUCAUGUCCAGGUAUUUCCCAUAUCUUUCUGUCUUUUCCAUGGCCAAAAACGAUCAACUAAAGAACAUUAAAGAAGAAAUAAAUUACCAUAUAUUAAAAAAUAUAUACUGUAAAAUGUUCUUUAUACAAAAAUAUGACAACUUCAAUAAAAGUAACUUGGAUAACCUGAGGCAUUAAUUGAGGAUCAAUGUGAUGACUCUACAUUGAGAAUCACAUAUACCUUCUGAAUAAAUUUUAAAAAUGAAAUAUUCUCAGUCACAUUAUUUUCAAAUUGUGGAUAUGCAUGGAAAUUAUCAGAGAACCAGAAUAUUCAAGGUUUAUCCUUCCUGUUUUUGUCUUAAAUCACAGCUUUGUGUUAAAUGAUAUGUAUGACCUAUUUCAGUGGCAGUAUGCUAAAUAAAAUUCUGUUUGUAUCUCC